rnacentral:rRNA from 1 species
GGGUGAGUAACACGUAUCCAACCUUUCCCUUACUCGGGUAUAGCCUCGGGAAACUGAGAGUAAUCCCCGAUGUUGUGUACGAAUAGCAUUUUUUGCACACUAAAGAUUUAUCGGUAAGGGGUGGGGAUGCGUUCCAUUAGGUAGUAGGCGGGGCAACGGCCCACCUAGCCGAUGAUGGAUAGGGGUUCUGAGAGGAAGGUCCCCCACAUUGGAACUGCGACACGGUCCAAACUCCUACGGGAGGCAGCAGUGAGGAAUAUUGGUCAAUGGUCGGAAGACUGAACCAGCCAAGUAGCGUGCAGGAUGACGGCCCUAUGGGUUGUAAACUGCUUUUGUGCGGGAAUAACGUACGCCACGUGUGGUGUAGUGCAUGUACCGUACGAAUAAGGAUCGGCUAACUCCGUGCCAGCAGCCGCGGUAAUACGGAGGAUCCGAGCGUUAUCCGGAUUUAUUGGGUUUAAAGGGAGCGUAGGCGGAGGAUCAAGUCAGCUGUGAAAUGUAGACGCUCAACGUCUGCACUGCAGUUGAAACUGGUCCCCUUGAGUGCGUAAGGGGCAGGCGGAAUUCGUCGUGUAGCGGUGAAAUGCUUAGAUAUGACGAAGAACUCCGAUCGCGAAGGC